GACGAACGCUGGCGGCGUGCCUAAUACAUGCAAGUCGAACGCAGUGGGGACGGGUGAGUAACACGUGGGUAACCUCCCAUCAGAGAGGAUAACACUUGGAAACAGGUGCUAAACCGAUACUGAUGGCUGGGCCCGCGGGGCAUUAGCUAGUUGGUGAGGUAACGGCGCACCAAGGCCACGAUGCAUAGCCGACCUGAGAGGGUGAUCGGCAACACGGGGACUGAGAGACGGCCCAGACUCCUACGGGAGGCAGCAGGAGGGAAUCUUCGGCCAUGGACGAAAGUCUGACCGAGCAACGCCGCGUGAGUGAAGAAGGUUUUCGGAUCGUAAAACUCGGGUGUUAGAGAAGCGGUAUCUAACCAGAAAGCCACGGUUAAGUACGGGCCAGCCGCCGCGGUAAUUC
rnacentral:rRNA from 1 species